rnacentral:rRNA from 1 species
GGUCCGAACCCACGAGCGUUGAAAAGCUCGGGGAUGACUUGUGGGUAGCGGUGAAAUUCCAAUCGAGCCCGGAGAUAGCUGGUUCUCCCCGAAAUAGCUUUAGGGCUAGCCUCAAGGUGAGAGAUACGGAGGUAGAGCACUGAAUGUCCUAGGGGGUAUUGCACCUACCGAAGACUAUCAAACUCCGAAUGCCGUCAUCUUAUACUUGGGAGUCAGACUGUGGGUGAUAAGAUUCAUAGUCGAAAGGGCAACAGCCCAGAUCGUCAGCUAAGGUCCCUAAAUGUAAGUUAAGUGGUAAAGGAUGUGGGAUUGCACAGACAACCAGGAUGUUGGCUUAGAAGCAGCCACUCAUUCAAAGAGUGCGUAAUAGCUCACUGGUCGAGUGAUCCUGCGCCGAAGAUUUCCGGGGCUAAAACUUACUACCGAAGCUACGGCAUCAGUAAUGAUGGGUAGGGGAGCUUCCCAUACGGGUUGAAGCAUGACCGUAAGGACAUGUGGACAGUAUGGGAGUGAGAAUGUUGGCAUGAGUAGCGAGAUGUGGGUGAGAAUCCCACAGGCCGUAAACCCAAGGUUGCCAGGGGAAGGUUCGUCCGCCCUGGGUUAGUCGGGACCUAAGCUGAGGCCGAAAGGCGUAGGUGAUGGACAACAGGUUGAUAUUCCUGUACUACCGAUAACCGUUUGAGAGAUGGGAUGACACAGUAGGAUAAGCUAAGCACACUGUUGGUUAUGUGUGCCCAAGCAUUGAGGCAGUCAAAGUAGGCAAAUCCGCUUUGAUAAUGCUGGGAUGUGAUGGGGAGCGAAAUUUAGUAGCGAA